GACGAACGCUGGCGGCGCGCCUAACACAUGCCAGUCGAACGGAGCUGCGAGAAGCUUGCUUUUCUUAGCUUAGUGGCGAACGGGUGAGUAACGCGUGAAUAACCUGCCCUGGAGUGGGGGACAACAGUUGGAAACGACUGCUAAUACCGCAUAAGCCCACGAUCCGGCAUCGGAUUGAGGGAAAAGGAUUUAUUCGCUUCAGGAUGGACUCGCGUCCAAUUAGCUAGUUGGUGAGGUAACGGCCCACCAAGGCGACGAUUGGUAGCCGGACUGAGAGGUUGAACGGCCACAUUGGGACUGAGACACGGCCCAGACUCCUACGGGAGGCAGCAGUGGGGGAUAUUGCACAAUGGGGGAAACCCUGAUGCAGCGACGCCGCGUGGAGGAAGAAGGUUUUCGGAUUGUAAACUCCUGUCGUUAGGGACGAUAAUGACGGUACCUAACAAGAAAGCACCGGCUAACUACGUG
rnacentral:rRNA from 1 species